rnacentral:rRNA from 1 species
CAGUAGUCACGUAGUUUGAUCCUGGCUCAAGAACGAACGCUGGCGGCAUGCCUAACACAUGCAAGUCGAACGAGACCUUCGGGUCUAGUGGCGCACGGGUGCGUAACGCGUGGGAAUCUGCCCUUAGGUUCGGAAUAACUUCGGGAAACUGAAGCUAAUACCGGAUGAUGACGUAAGUCCAAAGAUUUAUCGCCUAAGGAUGAGCCCGCGUUGGAUUAGCUAGUUGGUGAGGUAAAGGCUCACCAAGGCGACGAUCCAUAGCUGGUCUGAGAGGAUGAUCAGCCACACUGGGACUGAGACACGGCCCAGACUCCUACGGGAGGCAGCAGUGGGGAAUAUUGGACAAUGGGCGAAAGCCUGAUCCAGCAAUGCCGCGUGAGUGAUGGAGGCCUUAGGGUUGUAAAGCUCUUUUACCCGGGAUGAUAAUGACAGUACCGGGAGAAUAAGCUCCGGCUAACUCCGUG